AUGCGAGUUCCUUCAGGUGCCAAGGGUCGACAACGACCAAGCAGAUGCCCUAGCACGAAUCGGCUCCACCCGACAAGCCAUACCGACUGGCGUCUCCCUCCAGCGCAUCCUCAAGCCAUCCAUCAAGCCGUCUCCAGAGUCGGACUCUAUCUUCGUACCGCCUGCGCCAGAUGCAGCCGGAUCCGACUGGAGGACCCCGCAGGCGGCACGGGGACUUCAACAACUGGCCCGGGGACUGCCGUAGUCGCACCCGGCCCGGGGACUUCAAAACCCGGCCCGGGGACUGCAGCAGUCGGCCCGGGGACCGCAACGACACAAGAAGCGGUGGCCGACUCCAAUUCCACGCCACCCAACCCACCCACCCGAGUCAUGGUGGCUACACUAACAGAAGAAGAAGUCACAGCUCCAUCAUGGGCCCAGCCCAUCCUCAAGUUCCUAGUCAGCAGAGAGCUGCCGGCUGAUGAGAUCUCAGCAAGACUAGUGCAACGACGAGCCGCAGCAUAUGCAAUAAUCAACAGAGAGCUUGUGAAGCGCAGCGUCACUGGAGUCUUCCAGCGUUGUGUCGAGCCAGAAAAAGGAGUGGCAAUCCUCAAGGAUAUCCACCAAGGCGAAUGCGGCCACCACGCAGCCUCAAGAUCACUUAUGGCCAAGGCUUUCCGCCAUGGUUUCUUUUGGCCGACUGCCUUGGAAGAUGCUAAAGAGAUAGUCAAGAGCUGCAGAGGAUGCCAAGUUUUUAGUUCCAAGCAACACCUGCCGGCUUCUGCACUCAAGACCAUUCCCCUCACCUAG
rnacentral:rRNA from 1 species